rnacentral:rRNA from 1 species
AUUGAACGCUGGCGGCAUGCCUUACACAUGCAAGUCGAACGGCAGCAUGGAAGAGCUUGCUCUUCUGAUGGCGAGUGGCGAACGGGUGAGUAAAGCAUCGGAACGUACCGUGUAGUGGGGGAUAACGUAGCGAAAGUUACGCUAAUACCGCAUACGCACUGAGGUGGAAAGCAGGGGAUCGCAAGACCUUGCGCUAUACGAGCGGCCGAUGUCAGAUUAGCUAGUUGGUAGGGUAAAGGCCUACCAAGGCGACGAUCUGUAGCGGGUCUGAGAGGAUGAUCCGCCACACUGGGACUGAGGCACGGCCCAGACUCCUACGGGAGGCAGCAGUGGGGAAUUUUGGACAAUGGGGGAAACCCUGAGCCAGCCAUGCCGCGUGAGUGAAGAAGGCCUUCGGGUUGUAAGCUCUUUCGGCUGGGAAGAAAUCGCACAGGCUAAUACUCUGUGUGGAUGACGGUACCAGCAUAAGAAGCACCGGCUAACUACGUGCCAGCCGCCGCAGUAA